UACGUAGGGUGCGAGCGUUGUCCGGAAUUACUGGGCGUAAAGAGCUCGUAGGUGGUUUGUCGCGUUGUUCGUGAAAACUCACAGCUUAACUGUGGGCGUGCGGGCGAUACGGGCAGACUGGAGUACUGCAGGGGAGACUGGAAUUCCUGGUGUAGCGGUGGAAUGCGCAGAUAUCAGGAGGAACACCGGUGGCGAAGGCGGGUCUCUGGGCAGUAACUGACGCUGAGGAGCGAAAGCUAAGGGAGCAAACAGG
rnacentral:rRNA from 1 species